UACAAAUAUCUGCAUGUAAGAUACUGAGAG
rnacentral:piRNA from 1 species